AAGCCCGUGAAAUAGGCACAAUCUUAACAAGUCCUUAUAACGCUCACACGCAUCAAACAAAGAUUCCUCUACUUCCUGCCUAAAAUUAUUAAUCUCAUUUCUUACUU